UAUUUUCGGUAUUCUAUCCAGUAUUCGAUAGAUGUAAUUCCUACUUUUUCAAGUAUUUUAUCCUUGAUAUACUCAUCUUAACCAGUGACGGAUAUCCUUCCUUUAAGUCUAUCCUUGAUAUGUUCAUCCUAACUGAUGAUAGAUUUCUAUCCUUUGAGUCUAUCCUUGAUAUAUUCACUUCAACCGGUGACGGAUAUUCUCUCCUUUUGGUCUUUUGCCCAGUAACUGGUAGUUGUAAGUCCUACUUUUUCGCUUUUCC
rnacentral:lncRNA from 1 species